CAAACCCUUUCCCCGUGCAGGGUAUGAGGCAAAGACUGCUUUAACUUGGUUUUUUGGUGCUGCAUUAAUGCUUUUUGCUCGUUCUGUGUGAAUUUGCAGCCUCGCUCGUGGUUUCCCCUGGUGCUGGCGGAGUGGAGGCGAGUUGUGCUUCCUGCUGGGAGAGAGAACGGCCUUGGGAAGCUGCUCCAUGAACCACAGCUGUGCCGAGCCUGGGAGUCUGUCCAGGGAGGCAGUUUGCAAGGACAGAGGGGUUGCUGUGCUCUCUAGCAAAAAUAGUCCCCUUGGGAUGUACAGGGUGAGGAAAUCUUGGCCACGUGUGGGCUGGAGAAAAGACUUCACAAAGCUCCCCAGGAAAGGAAGCUUUAGAUUCCUCCCCAGCUUUAUGCUAAAGGUUUCCUUCCUCCUGUCUCAGCAACCUUUCUGCUG